CCUACGGGCGGCAGCAGUGGGGAAUAUUGGACAAUGGGGGGAACCCUGAUCCAGCCAUGCCGCGUGUGUGAAGAAGGCCCUCGGGUUGUAAAGCACUUUCAGUGAGGAAGAACGCCUGGUGGUUAAUACCCAUCAGGAAAGACAUCACUCACAGAAGAAGCACCGGCUAACUCCGUGCCAGCAGCCGCGGUAAUACGGAGGGUGCGAGCGUUAAUCGGAAUUACUGGGCGUAAAGCGCGCGUAGGUGGCUUGAUAAGCCGGUUGUGAAAGCCCCGGGCUCAACCUGGGAACGGCAUCCGGAACUGUCAAGCUAGAGUGCAGGAGAGGAAGGUAGAAUUCCCGGUGUAGCGGUGAAAUGCGUAGAGAUCGGGAGGAAUACCAGUGGCGAAGGCGGCCUUCUGGACUGACACUGACACUGAGGUGCGAAAGCGUGGGUAGCAAACAGGAUUAAUACCCCUGUAGUC
rnacentral:rRNA from 1 species